CCUUCGGGAACGUCUGACACAGGUGCUGCAUGGCUGUCGUCAGCUCGGUGUCGUGAGAUGUUGGGUUAAGUCCCGUAACGAGCGCAACCCUUGUCCUUAGUUACCAGCACGUUAUGGUGGGCACUCUAAGGAGACUGCCGGUGCAAACCGGAGGAAGGUGGGGAUGACGUCAAGUCAUCAUGGCCCUUACGGCCUGGGCUACACACGUGCUACAAUGGUCGGUACAAAGGGUUGCCAAGCCGCGAGGUGGAGCUAAUCCCAUAAAACCGAUCGUAGUCCGGAUCGCAGUCUGCAACUCGACUGCGUGAAGUCGGAAUCGCUAGUAAUCGUGAAUCAGAAUGUCACGGUGAAUACGUUCCCGGGCCUU
rnacentral:rRNA from 1 species